ACAGCAGUAGCCGCGGUAAUACGAAGGGUGCAAGCGUUAAUCGGAAUUACUGGGCGUAAAGCGUGCGUAGGCGGUGAGUUAAGUCUGCUGUGAAAUCCCCGGGCUCAACCUGGGAAUGGCAGUGGAUACUGGCUCGCUAGAGUGUGUCAGAGGAUGGUGGAAUUCCCGGUGUAGCGGUGAAAUGCGUAAAGAUCGGGAGGAACAUCAGUGGCGAAGGCGGCCAUCUGGGACAACACUGACGCUGAGGCACGAAAGCGUGGGGAGCAAACAGGAUUAGAUACCCGAGUAGUCCCUGUCUCUUAUAA
rnacentral:rRNA from 1 species